AUAUUUCAACAACCCUCCUCACUUAACUUGCAGAAAAAAAUAAAUAAUCAAUCCACGCCCCCCUUUCUUUUUUAUCUCAUUUGCCAAAGCUCAAUUUAUACAUGCAUCAGUUAGAGAAUUCUUUUGGUAGAGACAAGGAUGAUUGGUUAGCAAGCUUCACCAACGUAACUCUACAUUUAAAGGAGACAGCAAAGCGAGUCCAGAUUCCACAAAAAAAUGCUCCAUUCUCAAAUUUGUCACCGAUUGAUCUCCAUGGACAUGAUUUCCAAUCUCUAGUGGUUACUCAUUUUGUUACCUUCACCAAAUUAUUCAACAAAAUAUCAAAUUCUGUGAGAAUAAUAUGAAGAAUCUUAGAUGAAAAAAUUCUCUCCCAUUUUUCUUGAAUUCAACAUGAGAUAAAACUCCAUGUAAUGCAAAAGAAAGAAUAUUAUUUUCAGCUCUCUAAUUAGAUAUCCUACACGCAAGUGGAUAAUAAAAUCAAGAAGAAAAUAAGAGCACUAAAAGCUAUUUAUGUAUGGAUAAAUAAGAAGCAAUGAUAAUUCUAUAAAAUAAAAAAUAACAUGAGUACAAAUAAUACAAAGGGUUAAGUAUAAUUUUGGUUCUUAUGGUUUAAGCCAAAAAAAUUUUUCAUCUUCAAUCUUUUUUGCAUACAAAAUCGUUCCUAAGGUUUAACGUAGUUUUAGAAUCGUCUUUCAGACAAUUAUACCCUGUUCAAUAUCAUUAUCUCCAUCACAAAGAGAAAAAAGCAGAAACUUAGAGAGAGAAGCAAAAACUCAGAGAGAGAGAGAGAGAGAGAGAGAGAGAGAGAGAGAGAGAGAGAGAGAGAGAGAGAGAGAGAGAGAGAGAGAGAGCCUCGCUGUCACCCUCACCGCACCUCGCCGUCACCGUCUUUUGGCCCUCGCCCUCCCAACGGCAUGACUUGCACUCCAGUCUCGCCGCGACUUGCUCCCUAGCCUCGCUGCAAUUGGCCCUCACCUAACCGCGACACGCCUGGCCUUCGCCCUCAUGUUCCUCGUUGUCGUCGGGGAGGUGGUUGUGGUUGUCGUGUUCCUCGCAUCUUCCAACCGUGUCUCUUCCUCUGGCAAUUAGAUAGUACCUUUAAAAUCAGCCACCAAGAAAAAACGUAACCUUCCAGGAGUGCCAGAUGUUGAGGUGAUUGCUCUGUGUCUAAAGACCCUAUUGGCGACGAACAAAUUUGUGUGCCAAAUCUGCAAUAAGGGUUUUCAACAGGAUCAAAACCUUCAGCUCUAUCGAAGGGAGUCACAAGCAAUUCAUCUGAGUUUUAUUGACUAUUUUUAGUAAUUAGAUUUAUGGAUUUUUUGUUCUUUUAAUUGAAGAUGAAUUUAAAAAUUUCUGAUUAUUAUAAUUGGAU